GAGUUUUAAAUCCCAAAUUUUAGGGGAUCAAACCCCAAUUUUGGAUUUUAAAUCCCCAGUUUUAGGGGAUCAAACCCCAAUUUUGGGUGGCUCAAACCCCAGUUUUGGAGGGGUUAAAUCCCAAUUUCGGAGGAGUUUUAAAUCCCCAAUUUUAGGGGAUCAAACCCCAAUUCUGGAGAGUUUUAAAUCCCCAAUUAUAGGGGAUCAAACCCCCAAUUUUGGGGGGGCUCAAACC